UGUAUAAUGGGUCAGCGACUUAUAUUCUGUAGCAAGGUUAACCGAAUAGGGGAGCCGAAGGGAAACCGAGUCUUAACUGGGCGUUAAGUUGCAGGGUAUAGACCCGAAACCCGGUGAUCUAGCCAUGGGCAGGUUGAAGGUUGGGUAACACUAACUGGAGGACCGAACCGACUAAUGUUGAAAAAUUAGCGGAUGACUUGUGGCUGGGGGUGAAAGGCCAAUCAAACCGGGAGAUAGCUGGUUCUCCCCGAAAGCUAUUUAGGUAGCGCCUCGUGAAUUCAUCUCCGGGGGUAGAGCACUGUUUCGGCAAGGGGGUCAUCCCGACUUACCAACCCGAUGCAAACUGCGAAUACCGGAGAAUGUUAUCACGGGAGACACACGGCGGGUGCUAACGUCCGUCGUGAAGAGGGAAACAACCCAGACCGCCAGCUAAGGUCCCAAAGUCAUGGUUAAGUGGGAAACGAUGUGGGAAGGCCCAGACAGCCAGGAUGUUGGCUUAGAAGCAGCCAUCAUUUAAAGAAAGCGUAAUAGCUCACUGGUCGAGU
rnacentral:rRNA from 1 species